rnacentral:rRNA from 1 species
CACUAUGCUUAGCCCUAAACCAAAAUAGCUCACCAUAACAAAGCUAUUCGCCAGAGUACUACUAGCAACAGCCUAAAACUCAAAGGACUUGGCGGUGCUUUACAUCCCUCUAGAGGAGCCUGUUCCGUAAUCGAUAAACCCCGAUAAACCCCACCAUCCCUUGCUAAUUCAGCCUAUAUACCGCCAUCUUCAGCGAACCCUAAACAAGGUACCAAAGUAAGCACAAUCAUCCAACAUAAAAACGUUAGGUCAAGGUGUAGCCCAUGGGAUGGAGAGAAAUGGGCUACAUUUUCUACUCUAAGAACAAGAACUUAACCCAAACGGAAGUCUCCAUGAAAUUAGAGACCGAAGGAGGAUUUAGUAGUAAAUUAAGAAUAGAGAGCUUAAUUGAAUCAGGCCAUGAAGCGCGC